UGAGCCGACCGGGUGGUCGCGGCCCGGCUUGGACCGGGUCGAGGAAGGUCGGGGCUCCGCAGGGCAGGGUGCUGGCUAGCAGCCAGUCAGGGUGACCUGAAGGAAAGUGCCACAGAGAACAGACCGCCGAUGGCUCCCGGGCUCGCCUGGGGGAACAGGCAAGGGUGAAACGGUGCGGUAAGAGCGCACCAGCACCCGGGGUGACCCGGGUGGCUAGGCAAACCCCACCCGGAGCAAGGCCAAGCAGUGGGACGGGUUGCCCGCUCCCGCCGCCGCACGGCGGUGGACCCACGGGUAGGCCGCACAGAUGGAUGACCACCGAUCGGGACCCCCGAAAGGGGCCCGUGCACAGAACCCCGCCUACAGGUCGGCUCACCGC
rnacentral:RNase_P_RNA from 1 species